CGGGGGAGGCGGGAUCCUGGGCUGUGUCCCGGCGCCCUGUGCUCCGGGGCCUGCGCUGGUGGAUUCGCGCUCCCGGGCCUCGCAACCCCCU
rnacentral:pre_miRNA from 1 species